GUGCUCGCUUCGGCAGCACAUAUGCUAAAAUUGGAAUGGUGCAGAGAAGAUUAGCAUGGCCCCUGCGCAAGAAUGACACGCAAAUUCGUGAAGCGAAUUAAAAAUAU